GUGGGGAAUAUUGCACAAUGGGCGCAAGCCUGAUGCAGCAACGCCGCGUGAGGGAUGACGGCCUUCGGGUUGUAAACCUCUUUUAGUAGGGAAGAAGCGAAAGUGACGGUACCUGCAGAAAAAGCACCGGCUAACUACGUGCCAGCAGCCGCGGUAAUACGUAGGGUGCAAGCGUUGUCCGGAAUUAUUGGGCGUAAAGAGCUCGUAGGCGGCUUGUCGCGUCUGCUGUGAAAUCCCGGGGCUCAACCCCGGGCCUGCAGUGGGUACGGGCAGGCUAGAGUGCGGUAGGGGAGAUUGGAAUUCCUGGUGUAGCGGUGGAAUGCGCAGAUAUCAGGAGGAACACCGAUGGCGAAGGCAGAUCUCUGGGCCGCUACUGACGCUGAGGAGCGAAAGCAUGGGGAGCGAACAGGAUUAGAAACCCUUGUAGUCC
rnacentral:rRNA from 1 species